CCAUCCAACGAAAAACCAAGGGCAGCAAACAGCCAACCAUGGGUUGUUGGACUUGAAGUAAGAUAAAUCCCAAUGGAGAAUCUUGGACCUCAUGGGCUUGGGUCAGUGAAGACCCAAUUCAAAUGCCUUGCCCAAACGCGGAAAUGGUGAAGGAAGCCGAACCGUCAGCCCUAGUCGCAUGGCUGUUGCGCGCGGAUAACGGAGGAAGUGAGCCACUCUCAUUGAUGGCUAGCUGGCAACAUUUAAUGGGAAAACGGUGGGAUUGGAAAACCCAAAAGCCAACGGGUAAAGAGAAAAACGGCACAGAUGUCAAAUUCCAAAAGAAAAACUUUAAAGACUCAAAUCAUAGAAAACUUGGGAAAAUCAAAAGGCGAUGAAACUAAAAACUCAGUCUUCCUCCCUCAAGAGAAAUCCGAUCAAACUCUUCACCAAAGUGCAAGAACUUUCCGCCUCCUCUCAAAAUUCUAUGGCUAUGAAUGGACAUAACACAAAGUUAAACAGAAAUCGAAGGCCAAUACUAACUGAUUGCGACGGGGUCGACGGUGAUGGGAAGAGCGAUUUUAGAUCCUCCUUCAGAACGUUAGCUAUUCCGGCAACUCAACUUCGACUUGUGUGAAUCCUCCGGCGGCGUCCCAAAGAAUCCUCCGUGCUUUCUCUGAGGAAAGGGUAGUGGAAAACGUCCGUACGGAAGCCACUUCACCGUUGGUAAGAAAAAAUUUCACCCUGCUGUUGUGACAUGGGUAGAAUCAACCUCAUAUGGUCCACUUUCUAUUGCUAUCAGGAACAGAUGGGGCAGUAGCAGGUGAGUUUGUAAGCGCGGGUGACAUUCCACUUCCCCUUCUCAUCUUUGAGGAUAUGGAUCAUUUCUCCAAUGCACAACUUGACCAUAAGUAUAGCUAGUGUAUGAUAUAUAAACACUCAAGAAAAAUACACCUCAAACAAUGUGGGAGUGUAUUAUGCAUAGUUGUUAACCAGAAGAUGAAGACCAAGAUGUAGUUGAUAAGUUCUGAGAAUUAGAAACAAACACGCCUCUCCCGUAAUAACUAAGCAUAUCAUGAUUGAAGUUGCUACUGCCACCACCACCACAAAGUUGUGCUUCUGCAGUACCAUAUGAUAAGGAUUUGAAUAUGCUGCUUGAGAAAAGUGUGCAAGAGGAACUGAGUUAGACAAUUGCUGGUUAUUUGUGGAUGGCACAAAAUGAUUAAAUCCAAAUUUUGUUGUAGUUUGAACUAUUUUAGAAAAAUUGACCUUAGGUUUGCUUCCUUUGAAUCUAAGUGCAACUUCAUCAUAAGCAACAACUGCAUCCUUAGCAGUUUAAAAGGUUCCAAGCCAUACCCUUGAUGUCUGCUUUGGAUCAUGUGAUUUAAGUUUAUCAAUCGAGAUGGGAUUGACUUUUCUGAUGCACUAGUGCAAACAAAUUUUAGAGAGAGAAAAUUCACACUUGCUUACAAAUUCUCCUGCUAGAGUUUACAAUGCAGUGAAAAUUCACACUUGUUUACAUUAAAAAUUGUAAGCUUUCAAAUUCUCCAUAAAUAACAGUCCAGGUCAUGAAAAUAGUAGAGCUUGAGUUUUUGUGUU